rnacentral:snoRNA from 9 species
ACGACCUUACUUGAACACUAUCUGUUCUAUAGGAAUUGUACUAUUGCAUCCUCCUCUAAUAAGGAGACAAACUAGCCAGCCACCGCCUCCAAAAAGUUAGGGUU